GGGGUUGUGGCUCAGCGGUGGAGCGCUCGCCUCACAAAUAUGAGACCCUGGGUUCGAUCCUCAGCACCACUU
rfam:Ictidomys tridecemlineatus contig057196, whole genome shotgun sequence.